CACGGGGGGAGCAAGCGUUGUUCGGAAUCACUGGGCGUAAAGCGCGUGUAGGCGGCCAAGUAAGUGGGAUGUGAAAUCCCCCGGCUUACCCGGGGACCUGCAUCUCAUACUGCUUGGCUUGAGUAUGGGAGAGGAUGAGGGAAUUCCUGGUGUAGCGGUGAAAUGCGCAGAUAUCAGGAGGAACACCAAUGGCGAAGGCAGCUCGCUGGGACGUGACUGACGCUGAGACGCGAAAGCGUGGGGAGCAAACAGG
rnacentral:rRNA from 1 species